ensembl:snRNA U7 U7 small nuclear RNA
CGGUGUUACAUCUCUUUUAGAAUUUGUCUAACAAAUUCCAGCGAAGACUGGAAAACCG